rnacentral:rRNA from 1 species
GGGGGGACAACGUUUCGAAAGGAACGCUAAUACCGCAUACGUCCUACGGGAGAAAGCAGGGGACCUUCGGGCCUUGCGCUAUCAGAUGAGCCUAGGUCGGAUUAGCUAGUUGGUGAGGUAAUGGCUCACCAAGGCGACGAUCCGUAACUGGUCUGAGAGGAUGAUCAGUCACACUGGAACUGAGACACGGUCCAGACUCCUACGGGAGGCAGCAGUGGGGAAUAUUGGACAAUGGGCGAAAGCCUGAUCCAGCCAUGCCGCGUGUGUGAAGAAGGUCUUCGGAUUGUAAAGCACUUUAAGUUGGGAGGAAGGGCAUUAACCUAAUACGUUAGUGUUUUGACGUUACCGACAGAAUAAGCACCGGCUAACUCUGUGCCAGCAGCCGCGGUAAUACAGAGGGUGCAAGCGUUAAUCGGAAUUACUGGGCGUAAAGCGCGCGUAGGUGGUUUGUUAAGUUGAAUGUGAAAGCCCCGGGCUCAACCUGGGAACUGCAUCCAAAACUGGCAAGCUAGAGUACGGUAGAGGGUGGUGGAAUUUCCUGUGUAGCGGUGAAAUGCGUA